rnacentral:lncRNA from 1 species
AUGGGGCUGGUCACAAUCUCCUCCAUGUGGGUGCAGGUCUUACUGUGUGAAAAGUGCCUUGAGCUGGACGCGUAUAGUCCAGAAACAUUCGGGGUGUUUCUACGUCCAUCUUGCCUUGAUACGAUAGCUGAGAGGGGUCCAGCUCUGAGGCUUCACCUGGGCUCGGCCAGGUCUGGGACUGAUUUCUCUCUCUACCUGAAUGCGCUCUGCCACCAGGAGGCAGCUACUGGUUAUCGUUAUUAUUCCCAUUUUACAGAUGAAGAGACUGACGACAGUAGGGGUUCCAUUUCCUUCCCGAGCAUUUCCCAGUCUGGGCUCAGGUUUGGCUCUCUGGGGCGAACUGAUGGAGGCUGCAUCUCCCCCUCCUCCUCACACCCGUGCACUCAUGCACAUGCAUAUGAGUGUGCACAUGACUGUAUGAUAUACAUCUGAGUGUGCACGUAUGUGUGUGCGCAUAUGUCUUACUCCAGCCCUCCUCCCAGCUGUGGCCCGUGGUGACGUAGGCCCAGCCCUACCCUGCUUCAUGCUGUUCUGUCUGUGCUCAUGGCCACAUCUCAGUUCCUAAGCUCGUGGGCCUUGAUUUCUCCCGCCUUCCCAGAAUCCAUCCCCCCUUCCUCUGGGGACAGCCCUCACCCCAUUCCUUUGGGAAACAUGGUCUUAGUAGAACUGUCUGGCAGGCUCUCCAGCAGAUGCAUGGCUCCAACUGGAACCAGGCCAAUCCCACUCUCUCCUGGGACUCGGCCUUCUGCAGAAAAUCCCACGGCUGCAAACCUCACCCACCACAGCCUCAGAAGCACCUGCUGCCGAGUUCUUAUUCCUAGACCCGAGGAGCCACCUUUCCUGCACCUGCUGGCAACUCUGCAAGUGCCCAUAAAACCCCUUUUGGACCCAAUAGAAUGACUUUCUCCAUGGCUUCCAGGGUGUCUCCGAAAGGCAGGCCUCCGACUGACACCCCUCCCCAAAACAGCCUCAGCUCACCCCAAUGCAGCCUCAGCUCGCCCCAGUGCAGCCGCAGGAGCACAGAUGAGCCUGCUAAGGCAGAGACGGGACAAGACAGGUUCUUGGUGGCAGCACAUCAGAGGCAGGGCUGCUCAGCUGCUACUGCACAUCAAUGGCUCCAAGUCACGCACACAGCCUCAUACAGCAACCAAAUGCUGCCAUCAGCCUGCCCCAGAGAGCAACACUGACAGUGGCGGGGGUGGGGGCUGGGGAAGAGCAAUGUGUGUUUACAGACUUAACGGUUCUUAAGUCAGGCCUGUGUGCAGCGCUGCCAGGGACUCCGUACACACGACAGAUGUGCCUUUUCCUCCCUGGACGGGUUCCACGGGGCACAGGGGUCCACAGGCUCCCUGGUCACGUAAGCCAGGCUCAUCUUCAGAACGUUGCCCAUGUGGGCUGGUGACAAAUCCUACCAAUUUGUCAAUGUGCCUGU